GAUGAACGCUGGCGGCGUGCCUAACACAUGCAAGUCGAACGAUGAAACCGCCCUCGGGCGGACAUGAAGUGGCGAACGGGUGAGUAACACGUGACCAACCUGCCCCUUGCUCCGGGACAACCUUGGGAAACCGAGGCUAAUACCGGAUACUCCUCGCCCCCCCUCCUGGGGGGCCCGGGAAAGCCCAGACGGCAAGGGAUGGGGUCGCGGCUCAUUAGGUAGUAGGCGGGGUAACGGCCCACCUAGCCCGCGAUGGGUAGCCGGGUUGAGGGACCGACCGGCCACAUUGGGACUGAGAUACGGCCCAGACUCCUACGGGAGGCAGCAGUGGGGAAUUUUGCGCAAUGGGGGAAACCCUGACGCAGCAACGCCGCGUGCGGGACGACGGCCUUCGGGUUGUAAACCGCUUUCAGCAGGGAAGAAAUUCGACGGUAC
rnacentral:rRNA from 1 species